CCUACGGGGGGCAGCAGUGGGGAAUAUUGGACAAUGGGCGCAAGCCUGAUCCAGCAAUACCGCGUGAGUGAUGAAGGUCUUCGGAUUGUAAAGCUCUUUUAGUGGAGAAGAUAAUGACGGUAUCCACAGAAAAAGCACCGGCAAACUUCGUGCCAGCAGCCGCGGUAAUACGAAGGGUGCUAGCGUUGUUCGGAAUCAUUGGGCGUAAAGCGUACGUAGGCGGUUUAGUAAGUCGAUUGUGAAAUACCUGAGCUCAACUCGGGAACUGCAAUCGAUACUGCUUUACUGGAGUUUGGUGGGGGAUAGUGGAAUUCCUAGUGUAGGGGUGAAAUCCGUAGAUAUUAGGAGGAACAUCAGUGGCGAAGGCGACUAUCUACGCCAAUACUGACGCUGAGGUACGAAAGCGUGGGGAGCAAACAGGAUUAGAUACCCGUGUAGUC
rnacentral:rRNA from 1 species